rnacentral:snRNA from 1 species
AUACUCUGGUUUCCCUUCAACACGCAUAAAUCUUUCGCCUUUUACUAAAGAUUUCCGUGGAGGGGAACAUAUGAUGAGUCUUUAAAUUAUUAUUAUUAUUAUUAACUGCAAAUGGG